CUUUCAGAUGGCUUUUGUAAACUACAAUAAUUUUUUAAAUAGAAAAUGCUACUGGAAGGUCACCUGCCAAAGCGCCUAGUACGUGAACAAUUUACACACCAAUGCUGAAUUCUACCCACAUUUGCGAAGGGGGGGGUGGGGGGAUAUUAAUGUCAAGCCCUGACCAGCUUCCUGAAUGCAAUUUCCUCUUUCUGCUCAAGUACCACAGACCACAGUGACAGAAAAUAUAUAAAAUGAAAUGCUGGACGGAGCACUAGCAGCAGUUGUCAGAAAUGGCAGCAUUGGUCUCCAAAGAUUCAGAGGGUAUAUACACUGACCUGGCCAGUCCAGACCAAGAUGUGUACAGCACACUGGGCCAGACCUCACUCAACAGCCCAGGAGCUCAGCACAAAGAGCACAGUGGGCAAAGCUCAUAUCCCUACAGACGGGUUGCAGUGGGUCUGGGGCUGCUGUGUGCUCUCUUAUUGGCUGCCACAGUAGUCUUGUGUGUCCUCUAUACAAGUCUAUCAAAGAACUAUUCAAUGUUGGAGAUAGAUCUGGAGGAGCUCAGAAGCAACUACAGCACCAUGAAUACAGAGAUAGUCCAGCUACAGGGUAAAUACAAUGAAUUAAGAAACUCCACUUUUUGUAGCAGUACUGUCCCUCCAGU